AUCCCACCGCCACAGACACGAGGGCGGUCCCGCGGCCCCCCGCCUCCCACCCCCCCCCCCACCCCGUCCACCCGCCUCUUUUCUUCAGAGGCAAAGCACCUCCGAGUAAACCCACACACGACCGGUCGGAGGCAGAACGGUAGCCCCUCGGCGGCCGGCCGGCGCACGCGUCACCAGCCCAAGCCCACCGCGAUCGCUCACAGGGCCCGUGCGCACCCGCCAGAGGGGAGCACCGGACGUGCGCUCGCCGGACCAGGCGGGCGCCCUUCCCCGCGUGGGAGGGGCGCGUCUCGUCUCACUCAACCGCCUCGAACCCCACACCGACGAGCUCCCUCAGGACCCACGCGCGGACACCGAGGCGCCGACCGGAGGAGGGGGCGCUGGGGGUGGGAACGACACACCACCGCUCGGCCUCGGGAACCUGAGGGACAACCCGGAGCGCUCCAGGAGCACCGCAAAGGCCCAGGGGGAGCCAACGCUCGCGCAAACUCCCCGGGAGGGCAGCACGACGGGCCGGCGGGACAGCACCCCCACCGCUGCGGAGGGGGGCCGCCCGCAAGUCGACAACCACAGGAGGCGAGAGCGAGGGGUGCCUGCCGCGUCAGAGGACCCCCCGACCCACCCCGCGAGGCAGAAGGCGGGGGCGGGACAGCGAGGUCAGGCCGGGUUCCGCACCCCAUGCCUUCCCAACGCACCACCCGCAGGCGAGGAAGAGGAGAGACAAGGGGCCCCCGCGGGCGGGACGAGAAGAAGGGUCCCAUUCGCCACGAAUGUCCGCCCCUCGCCCGUCGCGGCUCGGACACGGCCAGGGAGAGCAUGACAUCACCAUAUUCUAUUCUUACAAGAGUGCUGCCACGUAAGUGUCAAUGAAUGUUUGUGAAAUAAAUGAGGGACUAAAGGAGUGAUCGAACAAAUAAAAAUAAGUUAUCUGUGUGUAUUGUAUGUGUGAAUAAGAUUUUGAGUUUGGCCAAGGCAGUUAAUCACAUAUUAACAACUCUUUAGAUACAUAAGGUUUAUAGCAAUGAGGUACAAAAUUGGUUCAACACCAAAUUCUAAGAUGAAACAAGGUUUAUGUUCAGAAAUAUAGUGUUACUUUUUCUAAUAUCAUUUGCCCUCCAACUAUCAGCAUGACACAUGCAAACCAUUGAUACGUGUUUUUUUUUUUUGUAUUGAAGAUUCCACAUGAAGAAAAAUUAUUAUAUUUCCAAUAGGAAGUCCUCUUCUAAAUGACAACAAAUCUGAGGGUGAACACAUUUGUUAAAAAGAGAGAGAUUAAAAAGUUAAGAUGCUGUUUGUACAGUAUAUAACUGAACAAAGUUGUAUCUAGCAAUUUGACAAGAAAGGUAAAACAGAAUAUUAACCUCAGCACACAAGUUUAGCUAAUGAUCUGGAACGGGGAGUUGUGAGUAGAGAGGAGGACAAAGAUGAAAGACAACCAUUUAUCCCAAGUUUCUUUCCAAAGAUGAAAAAUAAAAAACCCUCUUAGUAAUGUUUUUUAAAUUCUAACUACUUUCAAGAACACAUCAAUAAGAUAUAGAGAGAUAACAAUCAAGUUGGACAUUAACUUAAAAGUCAGAUGACUUUUUAAGCAUAAGUAACUUAGAACUGUAAAGUAAAAAACACUAAAUGUCAAUGACUUUAAAGUGGAUACUGAAGUAAAAAAAAAACCUUCUAUUAAAAACUAGACUAUAUGCAGUAACUUAUGUAGAAAGCUUAGCAUAAAUAUUUAUACAAAAUUGCCCUACCAUAUUUUAUUAAAAUAUUACAUUAUAAAUUAAGAGAAAAUAAUUUUAAAAAUGAGUUAUAUUUUAGGCAAUUUUUCUCAAAAUGAGUUUCAUAAAUUGAUAUGGUUAUUAGCAUAGUAAUUUCAAUAAUAGGAACAAAGAAACCAAAUGAAAACCUAAUGUGUGUAUGUGUGUGUGUGUGUGUUUUGUGUGUGUGUGUGUGUGUGUAUACAAUUACCUGGAAUUCCAACUUCAAU
rnacentral:lncRNA from 1 species